GAUGAACGCUGGCGGCGUGCCUAAUACAUGCAAGUCGAGCGAACAGACGAGGAGCUUGCUCCUCUGACGUUAGCGGCGGACGGGUGAGUAACACGUGGAUAACCUACCUAUAAGACUGGGAUAACUUCGGGAAACCGGAGCUAAUACCGGAUAAUAUAUUGAACCGCAUGGUUGAAUAGUGAAAGACGGUUUUGCUGUCACUUAUAGAUGGAUCCGCGCCGCAUUAGCUAGUUGGUAAGGUAACGGCUUACCAAGGCAACGAUGCGUAGCCGACCUGAGAGGGUGAUCGGCCACACUGGAACUGAGACACGGUCCAGACUCCUACGGGAGGCAGCAGUAGGGAAUCUUCCGCAAUGGGCGAAAGCCUGACGGAGCAACGCCGAGUGAGUGAUGAAGGUCUUCGGAUCGUAAAACUCUGUUAUUAGGGAAGAACAAAUGUGUAAGUAACUAUGCACGUCUUGACGGUACCUAAUCAGAAAGCCACGGCUAACUACGUG
rnacentral:rRNA from 1 species